GGCUAACAUGGAAUCUGUAAAUCAGGUGACGAGGAAGAAGGGAAAGAAAGAGAAAACGUCUGCAAAGAUAAUUAAAGGCACUAAAUCAGAAAGUUGGCCGCACUGAACUGAAAAAUUGAAAGUAAUCACCUUGGCUUUAUGUUCUCUACUUUCUGCUUGUCCCUUUGGACCGAGAGGUUACUGCACUGCGUACAUGGCUAGCUCUCUGAAACAAGGUCUGCCAUUUAUUACCUCUCUCAGUGCAGAUCACGAGUGAAUGAUUUCGGUUGUGAUUUCUCAGAGUGGGCCUCUGUGACUAUGGAAUGAAAAUAAAGAAUAGAAUUAUUUUUA